rnacentral:rRNA from 1 species
GAGUUUGAUCCUGGCUCAGAACGAACGCUGGCGGCAGGCCUAACACAUGCAAGUCGAACGCUCGUAGCAAUACGGGAGUGGCGCACGGGUGAGUAACGCGUGGGCACCUGCCCGGUGGUCCGGGAUAACCGCGGGAAACUGCGGCUAAUACCGAAUACGCCCUUAGGGGGAAAGAUUUAUCGCCAUCGGAUGGGCCCGCGUAGGAUUAGCUAGUUGGUGAGGUAACGGCUCACCAAGGCGACGAUCCUUAGCUGGUCUGAGAGGAUGAUCAGCCACACUGGGACUGAGACACGGCCCAGACUCCUACGGGAGGCAGCAGUGGGGAAUAUUGGACAAUGGGGGCAACCCUGAUCCCAGCCAUGCCGCGUGAGUGAAGAAGGCCUUCGGUUGUAAG